rnacentral:snRNA from 1 species
GGAUGUGAGGGCAAUCUGGCUGCAACAUCUGUCACCCCACUGAUCGCCAGGGUUGAUUUGUCUGAUGUGGCAGGCUAGGCCGGUGUCCACUUCCCCCUCAUCACUCCAUGUGUGACCCUUCUGAAGCUGCAUGCUCAGUAGAAGAGGACGGCCACCCCCGACAGAGGAGGGCCGUUUUCUCAGUCAAGGGUAUACGAGUAGCUGCACUCCCCUGCUAGAACCUCCAAAUGAGCUCUCAAGAAAGAAGAGAAGGAGAGAGGGAAGGAAGGAGGGAAAGAAGGCAGGAA